UGUGUAACCGUUUGUAACCGAUGGUUAACGAAUCAUUUCAGCACGCGUGAUACUUUAUGACCUCCUUUUACGACAACCAAAAACCUGUUGAUUACUGCUAAUCGGAGGCAGAAAUUUCGAUUGUUCACAAUAUUGAAGAAAAUGACCGAUCUGAUCAUCAUGAAGUUUCUACCAACGGAUUAAAACACCAAGGAGAUUGAGAAACAAGCCAAGAACAAAAUUUAACGGCGAUGGCAGUUGUCCGAGGUUGAAAUGGUCUGAUAGCGAGACCUAGAAGGCUAAAUAGAUAUUUGAUGUGUUGCAUAUGGCACAAACGAUUAAUUACAAAUCCAAUGGAAAGAAAGGUAUCAGACUUCACUGCGAGGACGGCAAACACCAGAAAAAAACACUCGAGUUGUGAAAACUGAGGUUCUGCCGGGUUCUUCUAAUGGUACUAAGAACACUGAAUCUAUGCAAGACAGGGUGGAUAAACAACAUGCCAUAACCAGUGGCACAUACGUAAACACACAUAGCAUUGCCAAAAGUUAGAAGGAUGACC
rnacentral:lncRNA from 1 species